UUGCAGAGAUGGUGCAAAUGGAUGGUGCAAAAGCUAUGGCACCCGGAGGCUGCAGUUGGAGCUUUAGUGACGAUUCCUAUCUGUUUACAUUUCAUUGCUCCGCAUUCUGAUGAUAAUAUAUUCACCACAUGUGACUUCUUCACCUACAAGUCCAAAAGAUACAUCAAAUUCAACAGGUCACAUAUGAAUUCAUUAGCAAACCCCCCCCCCCAUUUGACUUUUUUUUGUAUUUUAUACCUUGAUCUAUUAAAAUAAUAAUUCUCUUACUCUUUGAAAGUUAUACACAUUUAAACAAAUGUAUAUUGAUCACGUCCAUCUACAACUACCUCCCUCUUAAGUCCCCAUUAUGCCCGCCCGCCACAUCUUCAUUAAUUAUUCACUAUCCAUAUAGAAAUCCAAGCUGGAAACCACAGCGCUCCUUGGUUCUUCCUUUCCUUCAGCAUUUACACUGAAUGAGCGUCUCCCGACCAUCCGUUCCACCUCUAAAAUGUCUUUGAAUCUGCUCAUUCCUCCAA
rnacentral:lncRNA from 1 species